rnacentral:rRNA from 1 species
AGUGAACGCUGGCGGUAGGCCUAACACAUGCAAGUCGAACGGCAGCACAGUAAGAGCUUGCUCUUACGGGUGGCGAGUGGCGGACGGGUGAGGAAUACAUCGGAAUCUACUUUUUCGUGGGGGAUAACGUAGGGAAACUUACGCUAAUACCGCAUACGACCUACGGGUGAAAGCAGGGGAUCUUCGGACCUUGCGCGAUUGAAUGAGCCGAUGUCGGAUUAGCUAGUUGGCGGGGUAAAGGCCCACCAAGGCGACGAUCCGUAGCUGGUCUGAGAGGAUGAUCGGCCACACUGGAACUGGGACACGGUCCAGACUCCUACGGGAGGCAGCAGUGGGGAAUAUUGGACAAUGGGCGCAAGCCUGAUCCAGCCAUACCGCGUGGGUGAAGAAGGCCUUCGGGUUGUAAAGCCCUUUUGUUGGGAAAGAAAAGCAGCAGGUUAAUACCCCGCUGUUCUGACGGUACCCAAAGAAUAAGCACCGGCUAACUUCGUG